GUGUUGUAUGAAAGGAGAGAAGGUUAACACUCUUCUUGACAAGGACGGAAGAGGAGCUUGGACCUAACAACAUACAUACAGUUAGGGCAUUGCCACCUACUUCAUUGCAUCAUUUUAAAAACCACUAUUUUUA
rnacentral:ncRNA from 1 species